GGUUCCAUAGUGAAGCGAUUAGCACGUCUGCUUUACACCCAGAAGGUCCUGGGUUCGCACCCCAGUGGACCA
rnacentral:tRNA from 1 species